rnacentral:rRNA from 1 species
CCUACGGGAGGCAGCAGUGGGGAAUAUUGGGCAAUGGGCGCAAGCCUGACCCAGCAACGCCGCGUGAAGGAAGAAGGCUUUCGGGUUGUAAACUUCUUUUCAGAGGGAAGAGCAGAAGACGGUACCCCUUGAAUAAGCCACGGCUAACUACGUGCCAGCAGCCGCGGUAAUACGUAGGUGGCAAGCGUUUUUCGGAUUUACUGGGUGGAAAUGGCGUGCAGCCGGGAAGACAAGUCAGAUGUGAAAUCCCGAGGCGCAACCGGGGAACUGCAUUUGAAACUGUAUUGCUUGAGUACCGGAGAGGUCAUCGGAAUGCCUUGUGUAGCGGUGAAAUGCGUAGAUAUAAGGAAGAACACCAGUGGCGAAGGCGGAUGACUGGACGGCAACUGACGGUGAGGCGCGAAAGCGUGGGGAGCAAACAGGAUUAGAUACCCGAGUAGUC